rnacentral:tRNA from 1 species
UGAAAGGUAAAUUUCGUUAUAGCCUUCUACGUUCGGGACGUAGAGGUCGCAGGUUCAAAUCCUGUCGCAUCGA